GACAAACGCUGGCGGCGUGCCUAAAACAUGCAAGUCGUACGAGCCGAGCAAUCGGUUAGUGGCGGACGGCUGAGUAACACGUAGGUAACCUACCCUUGAGUGGGGAAUAAGCCUCCGAAAGGAGGUCUAAUACCGCAUACGACCGUAUGCCCACGGGUGUACGAGGAAAGUCGCAAGGCGCUCGAGGAGGGGCCUGCGUCCGAUUAGCUAGUUGGUGAGGUAAUGGCCCACCAAGGCGACGAUCGGUAGCUGGUCUGAGAGGAUGAUCAGCCAGACUGGGACUGUGACACGGCCCAGACUCCUACGGGAGGCAGCAGUUAGGAAUCUUGGGCAAUGGGCGAAAGCCUGACCCAGCAACGCCGCGUGGGUGAUGAAGGCCUUCGGGUCGUAAAGCCCUUUUGCACGGGAAGAUAAUGACGGUACCGUGCGAAUAAGCCCCGGCUAACUACGUGCCAGCCGCCGCCGUAAAAC
rnacentral:rRNA from 1 species